GCAAACUUGGUCAUUUAGAGGAAGUAAAAGUCGUAACAAGGUCUCCGUAGGUGAACCUGCGGAGGGAUCAUUACUGAGUUAUCUAACUCCCAAACCAUUGUGAACUUACCACUGUUGCCUCGGCGGCAGGCUCUGUAACAGGAGUGGCCGCCGGUGGACUACUAAACUCUUGUUAAUUUUUGUCAUUCUGAAUAAUAAACUUAAUAAGUUAAAACUUUCAACAACGGAUCUCUUGGUUCUGGCAUCGAUGAAGAACGCAGC
rnacentral:misc_RNA from 1 species